rnacentral:tRNA from 1 species
CAUUAGAUGGCUGAAAUGUAAGCAAUGGAAUUUUAAACCAUAAAAUAAUACUUAACAAAUAUUUCUAAUG